UGGUCCAGUUCUGUAACCCUGUAUGAUCGAGGAGAGGCAUCUUCAAAGAACGGAGUGAAAGAAGAGCAACGGGGUGGAACAUUGGACAGGUUUGCAUGUCACUGGAUAUGGAGCAACUCAGGCCUGCAAACACACUUUACUCUUCCAGACUACAUCUUCAGCCGUUACACUGUGGGCGAUCAGCUGGAGAAAGGUGGAUUUGGUGUGUGUUCAUUCCCGAUCAUCCAAACCCCCUUCCAAAGGAGAUCCCCCUCACCCUCCUGGCGAACAAAGGUUCCAGAGUGCCAGAAAUAAUCAGUCUUCUGGACUGGUCGGACCACCCUGACCGCUUCGUCAUGAUCCUCUCCCUGUGAGUUCCUCAGGCGUCACGGUGGAAACCUUAGAGAAGAAACAACCCGACAGAUCAUGAGACAGGUGGCCAGCGCCGCAAACACGUGCCACCUCCUCCGUGACGUCAAACUGGAGAACCUUUGUUUCGGGUCGUCUCGUAGGUCAUAAGACUCCUAGUUGCAGCGAGAGGCGCUUCAUCCCUCCUCUCACCUUUGUGUCUUGCAAGCCUUGUGUAGCGUCUUGCACCUUGGCUUGAGGAGGCAGUAUUUGGAUGUGUACAUAUUGUAUAUAUGUACAUACUUCUUUUGGUUGCCCCUUUUUGUUUGUCCCAUCAUGGUCACUCCAUUCCUGAGUUUCCUGCCACAGCUGUCUCAAUAAUAGAGCUCUCUCAUUCUCUGCCAUUAAGUAAGCCGCAUCUACUAAAGAGGCUGCUCCACACCUGUCAUAGGGACCUCAGUUUUUCAGGUUCCUGUAAAGCAAGGCUGCCACAAUUGAAGUCACCCUGGUCUCCAGUCUCACAGAAAUCCCUAUACAAGCCCAGAGGUGUCUGUCACAGCCAGAUAUUCCAGUGAUCAUUUCUUCAGAGGUUCCUGACUAUGAUAAAGUCCAGCCAGAAACCAAAGCAUCUCAUCGUCUCCAAGCUUUCUUCAUCUGUCAUUGCCUCUUGGUCCUGUUACUCCUAUUGGAGCUGCCAAAUACAAUGGUCUCCAAGCUCCUUGCAACGUUAGCUCAGCCUCAGAACAAAUUAAUAUUUUUGACUGCAUCUGCGUAUGAUGUACACAACGCACAGAUCCCAGUCUCAUACAGGUCAGUAUUAGGGAAUUAGGGAAUUGAUUCAGAGAUGAGAAAACAGCAGCUGAUUGCAUAGCAAUAAAAAUCUCCAACAGUCUGUCACACUUAGUGUAACACAUACGUAAAAUUGAGCACGCAUCUCAUGAGAUACUAGGCUUAUCAGUUACUGUUUUGCUUCA